UACGUAGGGGGCAAGCGUUAUCCGGAUUUACUGGGUGUAAAGGGAGCGUAGACGGAAGGUCAAGUCAGGUGUGAAAGGCAUGGGCUCAACCCGUGGACUGCACUUGAAACUGGCCAUCUGGAGUGUCGGAGGGGCAGGCGGAAUUCCUGGUGUAGCGGUGAAAUGCGUAGAUAUCAGGAAGAACACCGGUGGCGAAGGCGGCCUGCUGGACGAUCACUGACGUUGAGGCUCGAAGGCGUGGGGAGCAAACAGGAUUAGAUACCCUGGUA
rnacentral:rRNA from 1 species